rnacentral:tRNA from 1 species
GCUCAGUUGGUUAAGCCUCUGACUCUUGAUUUCAGCUCAGGUCACGAUCUCACAAUUCGUGAGUUCGAGCCCCACAUUGGGCA